AGCGAACGUUGGCGGCGCGCUUAACACAUGCAAGUCGUGCGAGAAACGUCCCUUCGGGGGCUGAGUAAAGCGGCGCACGGGUGAGUAACACGUGGGUAAUCCACCUUUCGGUCGGGGGACAACCUCGGGAAACCGGGGCUAAUACCGCGUACGACCGCCGACCCUCCGGGGUUGGCGGUGAUAGAGGGCCUCUCCAUGGAAGCUCUCGACGGAAGAGGAGCUCGCGGCCCAUCAGCUAGUUGGCGGGGUAAUAGCCCACCAAGGCAACGACGGGUAGCUGGUCUGAGAGGAUGAUCAGCCACACUGGAACUGAGACACGGUCCAGACUCCUACGGGUGCUG
rnacentral:rRNA from 1 species